rnacentral:rRNA from 1 species
UACGAGGGGUGCAAGCGUUGUUCGGAUUUACUGGGCGUAAAGCGUGCCUAGGUGGAUUUACAAGUCAGAUGUGAAAGCCCCCGGUUCAACCGGGGAAGGUCAUUUGAAACUGUAGAUCUUGAGUUCCGGGGAGGUGGGUGGAAUUCCUAGUGUAGAGGUGAAAUUCGUAGAGAUUAGGAGGAACACCGGAGGCGAAGGCGGCUCACUAAACGGACACUGACACUGCAGCACGAAAGCGUGGGUAGCAAACAGG